GAUGAAGAACGUAGCGAAAUGCGAUAAGUAGUGUGAAUUGCAGAAUUCAGUGAAUCAUCGAAUCUUUGAACGCACAUUGCGCCCCUUGGUAUCCCGAGGGGCAUGCCUGUUCGAGCGUCAUUUCACCACUCAAGCCUGGCUUGGUGUUGGGCGACGUCCCCUUUGGGGACGCGCCUCGAAACGCUCGGCGGCGUGGCACCGGCUUUAAGCGUAGCAGAAUCUUUCGCUUUGGAAGUCGGGGCCCCGUCUGCCGGAAGACCUACUCGCAAGGUUGACCUCGGAUCAGGUAGGAUUACCCGCUGAACUUAAGCAUAUCAAUAAGCGGAGGA
rnacentral:misc_RNA from 1 species